GCAGUCGAGCGGCAGCGGAAAGUAGCUUGCUACUUUGCCGGCGAGCGGCGGACGGGUGAGUAAUGUCUGGGAAACUGCCUGAUGGAGGGGGAUAACUACUGGAAACGGUAGCUAAUACCGCAUGACCUCGAAAGAGCAAAGUGGGGGAUCUUCGGACCUCACGCCAUCGGAUGUGCCCAGAUGGGAUUAGCUAGUAGGUGAGGUAAUGGCUCACCUAGGCGACGAUCCCUAGCUGGUCUGAGAGGAUGACCAGCCACACUGGAACUGAGACACGGUCCAGACUCCUACGGGAGGCAGCAGUGGGGAAUAUUGCACAAUGGGCGCAAGCCUGAUGCAGCCAUGCCGCGUGUGUGAAGAAGGCCUUAGGGUUGUAAAGCACUUUCAGCGAGGAGGAAGGCAUCACACUUAAUACGUGUG
rnacentral:rRNA from 1 species